GGACAGAAAGACCCUAUGAAGCUUUACUGUAGUUUGGAAUUGGGUUCGGGCUCUUCUUGCGCAGCCUAGGUGGGAGGCUAUGAAGAUAAACUUUUGGGUUUAUUGGAGCCAACAGUGAGAGACCACUCUAGAGGAGCUAGAAUUCUAAUGGCGUUCCUUGAAGCAGGACGCUUGACAGUUUCAGAUGGGCAGUUUGACUGGGGCGGUCACCUCCUAAAAGGUAACGGAGGUGUGCAAAGGUUCCCUCAGGCUGGACGGAAAUCAGCCGUAGAGUGUAAAGGCAGAAGGGAGCUUGACUGCAAGACCUACAAGUCGAGUAGGGGCGAAAGCCGGCCUUAGUGAUCCGACGGUUCCGAGUGGAAGGGCCGUCGCUAAACGGAUAAAAGUUACUCUAGGGAUAACAGGCUGA
rnacentral:rRNA from 1 species